rnacentral:piRNA from 1 species
UGAGCGCCUCGGCGACAGAGC